CAGCCAGCCUGCGACAGCUCCUUCGCCGCUGGAAGUCCUAACCGUACAGGCCCCACACAUGGCCCCUCCCCGUCACAUUCCUCCUGUGGGGGCCGCCAUCUUGUCCAGUCACAUGAUCGAGGUGAAGCUGUCCCGGCACGCGCUCGGAAGGCGUCGAUGAUUGGGCGGGCCCCGCAGGCCCAGCAUGGAGACUCGUGAAUGGCUACGCCAUUGGAGGGGGCGGGAUCGGUGGUGGGCCCGGUUCUCGUUGCUAGGGGAGGAGGAUGGCGACGGCAUCGGCGGCUCCUCCAUGGAGACGGGGCUGAGCCGGGACCCUGCAGCUGGAGAUGCGGAGACUCCCCUUAGCCGUGUCCUCAAUGGGGGCCCCUCAGCCCUCGGGGUAAUCGGCUGACACGGGCGGAGUCUGCGGCCGUUCAUCUGCCCCAGGCCUCAGCAUCCCAUUAGGCGCUGCCCGCGGUGCCUCCCGCCCAGCCGCUACCGUCUCGCCGCCUCGCUUAGCCGCCUGCCAGCUCCCGGCUCCCUCCCCACCUUCCUCAUCCAGUCCCGCCCCUGCCCCGCUCCCUCUCCCCCCUCACCUGACCUCCCCGCGGUCCAGAACCAAGCGGGGCCGCCCUACACUCACCGCAACAGACCUGACGAGCCCCCCUCGACGAGGACGAGGGGAAAGAUUUGUCUGUGUGGUGGGAAACAGAGAGCGAGAGGUCCCGGUCCGAAUGGUGAACGUUAAAGAGCAGAACAGAACAGCCCCCAAACACAGUGUCCAUCUUUCUUAGAAGAUAAAUGCAAAGCAGUUAUGUAACAUGCACCACGGCUCCUCAUGCAUGCAGGGAAACAUUUGGAGGCUGCAUGACAUUUUCAUACCUUUCUUAACAAUCUAGAUGGGGGCAAAUUCGUCUCUUCUGCUGAUCAAGGGGGAGAGAAGGGCUUAUACUGAGGCCAACCAGCUGCGCCCUUGUGUGUGGAAACUCUGGACUCAUUUCAUGGCUUGCUUUUUUCUUUAUUCCACCGAUACUGCAGCAUCUCUGAAAAUUAACCUUUUGUGAAGUUGUGCUCCAAACCCUCUCUGCUCCUCCUUCAUUAGGCGGCUGCUUUGCAAGGAAAGAAAUGGCAUGAAGUAAAUGGCUCCAGAAUAACACAAUCUGCUCUGCCAAAGUGCCCAGUGAGCAGAACUGUCACUUUAAUAAUUCCAUUGCAAGGGAUUGCUUUCCUUCUUUUCAAUCCUCUCUUUUAAUACAGUAUAUGGGAGGAUCAGAGGGACAUUAAAGACCAUAAGGCUGGGUGGCUUGGAGAGAAUAAAAAUGAAAGUGACUGGCGAGUGAUUUCUGUUGGUUAAGAGAGAGAUUUGAAAGCAUCUUUGCAGUGAUGAAAAAGGGAACCUUUUCAGUCUGUGUAUACACCCAGUACAGCUGUACAUAACUAGCAACAUUCACCCAAAUUCCAGUGAAAGGAGUUUGGACAAUUAUUUUUGAUUGCUUUUGUUCUCCACCAGAAAUUUAUUUGGAUUAUUUGUGAAUUUAGUCCUGAAAUUCAGAUGGCUUUGAACUGGUUCAGGUGGAAUAUUAUGACAGCUGCCUAGAGAUGGAUUGUGCCUUAAUCGUCUUACAUAAAAUUGUAACUGACAAACUUUUGCUGCCAGAAGAGGAGUUAUUAUAGGGUUUUAUAUCCCAAGGAGGCUUUUCUCUUGUAUUUUUAUAGAUUCAAAAAUAUUUUACAGAAAUUGAAAACCACUCUUGCAAAAUUCAAAACUUCUUUUUCUGUGGGAGGCACUUGAAGUUUACUUGGAGGAAAUAGUGAGUACUGCUAGAAAAAAAGAAGAUUGAAGUUUUAUUUCCUAACUGAACUGUUUAAGUAAUUUGAACAAAUACCUAGUUCUUGGGCUUACAAGCUGAUUCUAGUGGGACAUCAUUGAUACCAGUAAAUAAGCACUUGCAUCCAGUACCGGAAGUAAGACUAAGAAUGCCAGUCAAAAAGAAAGAUACUGAUCGAGCUUUAGCACUUCUAGAAGAAUAUUGUAAAAAGCUAAAGAAGCCGGAAGAGCAACAACUGAAAAAAGCCAUUAAAAAAGUGAUGGGCAUCUUUAAGAGCAGCUUAUUUCAGGCACUAAUAGAUAUCUUCACAGAGAAGUUGACUUCUAGUCGUCGCUGGCUUGGGCAAUCGGGUCUGUUUGAUCCUCAUUAAAUCCCCAGGGCAGUUCUUCCACCCAUGGCCAAAUUAUUGUUUUGUGAAAAUGAGGAUGAGGAGAGAUGAACCCAAGGUUAUAGACCGUGCAGAUUAGUAGGAACAUCUGACUCUUGAGGGGAAAAAUAACAGGAUUUUCGUCUGCUUCUGUGUUUUUCUCACUACAUACUCCAUCAGCAGAUAGCACCUUGUGACCAAUCUCCACCACUCCAAUUUGUUACACCUUCAGUACUACCCUAAAUGCUCUUCAAUAACCAGAAUAUACUAGGGUCAUCUGCUGUAUAGAUUGUGACAUAGAAAAGCUGCCAUCACUUACUUCCUCUCAUUUAUGUCCCUGUAGUAACUCUUGUUUCAGAAGAGUUAUAUUAUUGUUAAUCAUCCUACUGAAUAAUACCUCAAAUCCUCACUGGAAAGUGCAUCACCAUUGGGGAAAAAAUCUGGAUCCUGGAAAAAGAUUCAUAUCCUCUGCAUGAAUCAGAAUCAUAGAGACGUCUGGAAGCAGACAUUUACAUGGUUCAGUUGAAGUCUGAAGGAGCGAAGUGUGGAAAUUCUUCACAAAAUCAUUCUCUCUCUCCCACCUGUAACUUACCUUCACUUUAUGCUGUAUAUUUCAGUGAGUCACUCAGCAGAUGCAAGAACUUUCCCAGUCCUGAAUUAUAUAAGCAUAUAUGACUCUUCAGAUGCUAAUGGAAGGUGGAGAAAGUCUAGUCCAUGAAUUGCUGCUGAUGAAUAGCCAUUUAGGCUCAAAUUAAAGCAACAUUCCUCAUCUUCAGUAAUUUAUUUUGAUACAUAAAGCUAAUAUUGUAACAUUUGUGUUUUCUGUUUUCUUGAGCAAAUGCUUUAAAUUGCGGUUUUACAGAGUUAUGAUUAUACAAUACCUUAAAUUAUACUUAUAAGUAAAAAAGUUAAAGCUUAGUGUUUAAUCCAGCAACACCUCUGUUAUAAAUGAGCAAUAGUGCAUGUUGUUUCCUUCGGAAUUAAUUAUUUUUACUAUUGUGGACUCCAGCAGUUUUUGUUGUAAAACAGAAUUAAGAUAUUAGUAUUCAUGGGUAUUUUAACAUGUCAA